rnacentral:rRNA from 2 species
AGCCGCUUCCUUGGAGGUGGGGGGAACAGUUGGAACGACUGCUAAUACCGCAUAAUGUCUACGGACCAAAGGCGUUGCUUCGGCUCUCGCCUUUAGAUUGGCCCAAGUGGGAUUAGCUAGUUGGUGAGGUAAUGGCUCACCAAGGCGACGAUCCCUAGCUGGUUUGAGAGGAUGAUCAGCCACACUGGGACUGAGACACGGCCCAGACUCCUACGGGAGGCAGCAGUGGGGAAUAUUGCACAAUGGGCGCAAGCCUGAUGCAGCCAUGCCGCGUGUGUGAAGAAGGCCUUCGGGUUGUAAAGCACUUUCAGUCAGGAGGAAAGGUUAGUAGUUAAUACCUGCUAGCUGUGACGUUACUGACAGAAGAAGCACCGGCUAACUCCGUGCCAGCAGCCGCGGUAAUACGGAGGGUGCGAGCGUUAAUCGGAAUUACUGGGCGUAAAGCGUACGCAGGCGGUUUGUUAAGCGAGAUGUGAAAGCCCCGGGCUCAACCUGGGAACUGCAUUUCGAACUGGCAAACUAGAGUGUGAUAGAGGGUGGUAGAAUUUUCAGGUGUAGCGGUGAAAUGCGUAGAGAUCUGAAGGAAUACCGAUGGCGAAGGCAGCCACCUGGGUCAACACUGACGCUCAUGUACGAAAAGCGUGGGGAGCAAACGGGAUUAGAUACCCCGGUAGUCCACGCCGUAAACGAUGUCUACUAGAAGCUCGGAGCCUCGGUUCUGUUUUUUCAAAGCUAACGCAUUUAAGUAGACCCGCCUGGGGAGUAACGGCCGCAAGGUUAAAAACUCAAAUGAAUUGACGGGGGCCCGCAACAAGCGGUGGAAGCAUGUGGUUUUAUUCGAAUGCAACGCGAAGAACCUUUACCUAACACUUGAACAUAACAGGAAGAACUUUAACCAGAAGAUGGGUUUUGGGUGGCCCUUUCGGGGAAACUCUUGAAUACCA